AUUGAACGCUGGCGGCAGGCCUAACACAUGCAAGUCGAACGAGUGGCGGACGGGUGAGUAAUGUCUGGGAAACUGCCCGAUGGAGGGGGUUAACUACUGGAAACGGUAGCUAAUACCGCAUACCAUCGGAUGUGCCCAGAUGGGAUUAGCUAGUUGGUGGGGUAAAGGCUCACCUAGGCGGCGAUCCCUAGCUGGUCUGAGGGGAUGACCCGCCAAACUGGAACUGAGACACGGUCCCGACUCCUAAGGGGGGCAGGGGUGGGGAAUAUUGCACAAAGGGCGGAAGCCUUAUGCAGCCAUGCCGCGUGUAUGAAGAAGGCCCUCGGGUUGUAAAGUACUUUCCGCGGGGAGGCGUUACCCGCAGAAGAAGCACCGGCUAACUCCGUUCCAGCCGCCGCGGUAAUAC
rnacentral:rRNA from 1 species